rnacentral:rRNA from 1 species
UGCCAGCAGCCGCGGUAAUACGGAGGGUGCAAGCGUUGUUCGGAAUUACUGGGCGUAAAGCGUACGUAGGCGGAUCAGAAAGUAUAGGGUGAAAUCCCAGGGCUCAACCCUGGAACUGCCUCCAAAACUAUCAGUCUAGAGUUCGAGAGAGGUGAGUGGAAUUCCGAGUGUAGAGGUGAAAUUCGUAGAUAUUCGGAGGAACACCAGUGGCGAAGGCGGCUCACUGGCUCGAUACUGACGCUGAGGUGCGAAAGUGUGGGGAGCAAACAGGAUUAGAUA